rnacentral:rRNA from 1 species
CCUACGGGAGGCAGCAGUGAGGAAUAUUGGUCAAUGGACGCGAGUCUGAACCAGCCAAGUAGCGUGAAGGAUGACUGCCCUAUGGGUUGUAAACUUCUUUUAUAUGGGAAUAAAAUGUUCCACGUGUGGGAUUUUGUAUGUACCAUAUGAAUAAGGAUCGGCCAACUCCGUGCCAGCAGCCGCGGUAAUACGGAGGAUCCGAGCGUUAUCCGGAUUUAUUGGGGUUAAAGGGAGGGUAGGUGGAAUGUUAAGUCAGUUGUGAAAGUUUGCGGCUCAACCGGAAAAUUGCAGUUGAAACUGGCAGUCUUGAGUACAGUAGAGGUGGGCGGAAUUCGUGGUGUAGCGGUGAAAUGCUUAGAUAUCAGGAGGAACACCAGUGGCGAAGGCGGCUUACUGGACUGUAACUGACGUUGAGGCUCGAAAGCGUGGGGAGCAAACAGGAUUAGAUACCCGGGUAGUC